CUUGCUUCUCUUGAGAGCGGCGGACGGGUGAGUAAUGCCUAGGAAUCUGCCUGGUAGUGGGGGAUAACGUUCGGAAACGGACGCUAAUACCGCAUACGUCCUACGGGAGAAAGCAGGGGACCUUCGGGCCUUGCGCUAUCAGAUGAGCCUAGGUCGGAUUAGCUAGUUGGUGGGGUAAUGGCUCACCAAGGCGACGAUCCGUAACUGGUCUGAGAGGAUGAUCAGUCACACUGGAACUGAGACACGGUCCAGACUCCUACGGGAGGCAGCAGUGGGGAAUAUUGGACAAUGGGCGAAAGCCUGAUCCAGCCAUGCCGCGUGUGUGAAGAAGGUCUUCGGAUUGUAAAGCACUUUAAGUUGGGAGGAAGGGUUGUAGAUUAAUACUCUGCAAUUUUGACGUUACCGACAGAAUAAGCACCGGCUAACUCUGUGCCAGCAGCCGCGGUAAUACAGAGGGUGCAAGCGUUAAUCGGAAUUACUGGGCGUAAAGCGCGCGUAGGUGGUUUGUUAAGUUGGAUGUGAAAUCCCCGGGCUCAACCUGGGAACUGCAUUCAAAACUGACUGACUAGAGUAUGGUAGAGGGUGGUGGAAUUUUCCUGUGUAGCGGUGAAAUGCGUAGAUAUAGGAAGGAACACCAGUGGCGAAAGCGACCACCUGGACUAAUACUGACACUGAGGUGCGAAAGCGUGGGGAGCAAACAGGAUUAGAUACCCUGGUAGUCCACGCCGUAAACGAUGUCAACUAGCCGUUGGAAGCCUUGAGCUUUUAGUGGCGCAGCUUAACGCAUUUAAGUUGACCGGCCUGGGGGAAGUA
rnacentral:rRNA from 1 species